rnacentral:rRNA from 1 species
UGCUAGCUUGCUAGAACCUACACACAGGUGCUGCACGGCUGUCGUCAGCUCGUGUCGUGAGAUUGUUGGGUUAAGUCCCGCAACGAGCGCAACCCUCGUCCUUAGUUGCUAACAGUUCGGCUGAGCACUCUAGGGAGACUGCCUUCGCAAGGAGGAGGAAGGUGAGGACGACGUCAAGUCAUCAUGGCCCUUACGGCCAGGGCUACACACGUGCUACAAUGGGGCGUACAGAGAGCUGCGAUACCGCGAGGUGGAGCCAAUCUCUUAAAGCGUCUCUCAGUUCGGAUUGUUCUCUGCAACUCGAGAACAUGAAGCUGGAAUCACUAGUAAUCGCAGAUCAGCUAUGCUGCGGUGAAUACGUUCCCGGGUCUU